GACCUCACAAAGAAAGAAUGUGGAAGCUCCAGAAGGAGGAAACACCAGGAGGAAGAAACACGGCCGAGGAGAAGUUAAGAUAACACCAUGAAACAUUACUAACAGCGAAGAAACAAAAAUGGCACCCAAAAAAGCUCCAGCGGCCAAGGAAGCAGCGAAGCCGGACAAAGAUGAAAAAGACGCCAAAGGAAAAGAUGCAAACGAUGCAACAGACACACCAAAAGAUGCAAAGGAAUCAGCAUUUGAUAAGCAAGUGAAACCAAUCAAACGAUUAUUAAAAAAACAAUGGGCGUACAAGCUGGCUGUCGCGUUGGUCCUUGGAAUCUAUGUCGCCGCAAUUAUAUUUGUUA